GACGAACGCUGGCGGCGUGCCUAAUACAUGCAAGUAGAACGCUGAAGGAGGAGCUUGCUUCUCUGGAUGAGUUGCGAACGGGUGAGUAACGCGUAGGUAACCUGCCUGGUAGCGGGGGAUAACUAUUGGAAACGAUAGCUAAUACCGCAUAAGAGUAGAUGUUGCAUGACAUUUGCUUAAAAGGUGCAAUUGCAUCACUACCAGAUGGACCUGCGUUGUAUUAGCUAGUUGGUGGGGUAACGGCUUACCAAGGCGACGAUACAUAGCCGACCUGAGAGGGUGAUCGGCCACACUGGGACUGAGACACGGCCCAGACUCCUACGGGAGGCAGCAGUAGGGAAUCUUCGGCAAUGGACGGAAGUCUGACCGAGCAACGCCGCGUGAGUGAAGAAGGUUUUCGGAUCGUAAAGCUCUGUUGUAAGAGAAGAACGAGUGUGAGAGUGGAAAGUUCACACUGUGACGGUAUCGUACCAGAAAGGGACGGCUAACUA
rnacentral:rRNA from 1 species